rnacentral:rRNA from 1 species
CGGCGUGCCUAACACAUGCAAGUCGAACGAGAAAGCUCCUUCGGGAGUGAGUAGAGUGGCGCACGGGUGAGUAACACGUGGAUAAUCUGCCUGAUAAUCAGGGAUAACAUUUCGAAAGAGAUGCUAAUACCGGAUAAGCCCACAGCCUCUUCGGAGGCAGCGGGAAAAGAUGGCCUCUUCUUGAAAGCUGUUGUUAUCAGAUGAGUCCGCGGUCCAUUAGCUAGUUGGUAGGGUAAUGGCCUACCAAGGCAACGAUGGAUAGCUGGUUUGAGAGAAUGAUCAGCCACACUGGAACUGAGACACGGUCCAGACUCCUACGGGAGGCAGCAGUGGGGAAUUUUGCGCAAUGGGGGAAACCCUGACGCAGCAACGCCGCGUGAGUGAUGAAGGUUUUCGGAUCGUAAAGCUCUGUCAAGAGGGAAGAAACCUCCAAUGGUUAAUAACUGUUGGAAUUGACGGUACCUCUAGAGGAAGCACCGGCUAACUCCGUGCCAGCAGCCGCGGUAAUACGGAGGGUGCAAGCGUUGUUCGGAAUUAUUGGGCGUAAAGCGCGUGUAGGCGGUUAGUUAAGUCUGAUGUGAAAGCCCCGGGCUCAACCUGGGAAGUGCAUUGGAAACUGGCAAACUUGAGUACGGGAGAGGGAAGUGGAAUUUCGAGUGUAGGGGGUGAAAUCCGUAGAUAUUCGAAGGAACACCAGUGGCGAAGGCGGCUUCCUGGACCGAUACUGACGCUGAGACGCGAAAGCGUGGGGAGCAAACAGGAUUAGAUACCCUGGUAGUCCACGCCGUAAACGAUGGGUACUAGGUGUUGCGGGUAUUGACCCCUGCAGUGCCGAAGCUAACGCAUUAAGUACCCCGCCUGGGGAGUACGGCCGCAAGGCUAAAACUCAAAGGAAUUGACGGGCCCGCACAAGC